rnacentral:rRNA from 1 species
CCUACGGGAGGCAGCAGUGAGGAAUAUUGGUCAAUGGACGAGAGUCUGAACCAGCCAAGUAGCGUGAAGGAUGACUGCCCUAUGGGUUGUAAACUUCUUUUAUAUGGGAAUAAAACGUUCCACGUGUGGGAUUUUGUAUGUACCUUAUGAAUAAGGAUCGGCUAACUCCGUGCCAGCAGCCGCGGUAAUACGGAGGAUCCGAGCGUUAUCCGGAUUUAUUGGGUUUAAAGGGAGCGUAGAUGGAUUGUUAAGUCAGUUGUGAAAGUUUGCGGCUCAACCGUAAAAUUGCAGUUGAUACUGGCAGUCUUGAGUACAGUAGAGGUGGGCGGAAUUCGUGGUGUAGCGGUGAAAUGCUUAGAUAUCACGAAGAACUCCGAUUGCGAAGGCAGUUCACUGGACUGCAACUGACACUGAGGCUCGAAAGUGUGGGUAUCAAACAGGAUUAGAUACCCUUGUAGUC